AUGAAUGCCUGUUGUAUAAGAUGCACUCUUGUUCGCCUCAAGUCCGAAUUGUCGGUGCACAUUGCUCCUCUUUUGCCUUUUCACCAACAUGUGGGAACCCAGUAUCCGGGAGCACCCCACCAUCCUUGCAUGACACGCUCCCUUCACUUUUCGUUUUGCACCGGUAUCUCCCUGAACUACCGGAAUCGGAAUGUUGCUGUGGCACCGUUUCAUUAUCGUUGCUGUGGCACCCCUUUCGUUUCCGCCACGAUGACAAAAUGCUUCAUAUCAUGUUCAUAUCAACAUUUUUCAAAAAACCUGCAUAAACUUGCACAUGUCAUUCGCAUCAUGAUAAUAACCUUUAAAUGUUUAAAUUUGUUGUUGCACCAAAUUGAUAAAUGCAUAUGA
rnacentral:rRNA from 1 species